GGAAACAGACCAGAGAACAUCAGUCACAUUUUAACUGUCUAAAAAAAUACCAAUAUUGUUCAUUCAGGCAACCCUGAUGAAAAACAAUUUAAAGGCUCUAAAUAUGGAAAAGCAUCUGGUCAUGUGAACAACUCAAAGCAACAAAAGGAGAGACAAGCAAGCAGAAAACCAUUUAGCUGUUCUGAUCAGAGUAAAGACAAAAACACACACAUGAUAAUGCAU